GCCGCGGUGGUGAAAUUGGUAUACACGAGGGACUUAAAAUCCCUUGGAUUAAUAAUCCGUGUGGGUUCAAGUCCCACCCGCGGCA
rnacentral:tRNA from 1 species